rnacentral:rRNA from 1 species
UUCGGGGUGAAGGAUAGUGGCGGAUGGGUGAGUAACGCGUAAGUAACCUGCCCCCAAGUAGGGAAUAACUCUGAGAAAUUGGAGCUAAUACCGUAUGUGGUGAUGAAGGUAAUGCUGCGUCACUAAAGCCUUAGGGCGCUUGGGGAGGGGCUUGCGUCCGAUUAGCUAGUUGGUAGGGUAACGGCUUACCAAGGCGAUGAUCGGUAGCUGGUUUGAGAGGAUGGUCAGCCACACUGGGACUGAGACACGGCCCAGACUCCUAUGGGAGGCAGCAGCAAGGAAUAUUGUGCAAUGGGCGAAAGCCUGACACAGCGACGCCGCGUGGGGGAUGAAGGCCUUCGGGUCGUAAACCCCUUUUCUCGGGGAAGAAUAAUGACGGUACCUGAGGAAUAAGUCACGGCUAACUACGUGCCAGCAGCCGCGGUAAUACGUAGGUGGCGAGCGUUAUCCGGAUUUAUUGGGCGUAAAGAGGGCGUAGGCGGUUCUUCAAGUUGGAUGUAAAAUCUCCCGGCUUAACUGGGAGGGGUCAUUCAAUACUGUUGGGCUAGAGGGCAGCAGGGGGAGGUGGAAUUCCCGGUGUAGUGGUGAAAUGCGUAGAUAUCGGGAGGAACACCAGUGGCGAAGGCGGCCUCCUGGGCUGUUACUGACGCUGAGGCCCAAAAGCGUGGGGAGCAAACAGGAUUAGAUACCCUGGUAGUCCACGCCGUAAACUAUGGACACUAGGUAUGGGGAGUAUCGACCCUCUCCGUGCCGAAGCUAACGCU